UUCAGUAUUGGUCAGACCUCCAAUCUCAAGUGAAGCUGUUGAUGAAAUGCAGCAUUAAACAACAACUGCUCCAGUGAGGCCCUAGAACUCCAGUGCUUGCAACCCCACACAGCUCCAUCCCAGCAGGGCUUGAGACCCCUUUCUUCUCCUGAUCUGAGCCACUGAUCUGAGUGGAGCUGUUGUUUGAAUUAGAGAGGAUGGAGCAGAAGGCUUGUGCUUUCAGCACUGUGUUAACCAAACUGACAGCUGAACUGGUUCUUGUGCUGGACUGUGGCAACUAAGCCUCAUGUGCUACAUUUAUUUAUGUCCUGGAAUGAGAAGAUGGACCAUUAUCAUGGUGAAUUUUGGAUGGGCAACAGUCCUAGUUACCCGUGGAUACUGAACCAGUGAAGCUUUGUAGGCGUGAAGAUACUGAUGUUGCAAUUCAGAUUAUCCCCCAAUGCUGGUAAUCACAAACGUAGACCUACCACUUCUGUGGUGCUCAGGACCUCUUUGGCAGAAGAAAGCUUUGGAGUUUAGGAAUCCUAAAAGGGCUGGCAGGAGUCUUGACUUGGCUGAGUUUCUACAAUCAGGCUUUAACCCCUGCUCUGUGUCACUGAGGAUGGCAGCACAUCCUCGGGGAGGGCUUC